AUUGAACGCUGGCGGCAUGUUUUACACAUGCAAGUCGAACGGUAACGCGGGGCAACCUGGCGACGAGUGGCGAACGGGUGAGUAAUGCAUCGGAACGUGCCCAGUAGUGGGGGAUAGCUCGGCGAAAGCCGGAUUAAUACCGCAUACGACCUACGGGUGAAAGCGGGGGACCGUAAGGCCUCGCGCUAUUGGAGCGGCCGAUGUCAGAUUAGGUUGUUGGUAGGGUAAAGGCCUACCAAGCCGACGGUCUGUAGCUGGUCUGAGAGGAUGAUCAGCCACACUGGGAUUGAGACACGGCCCAGACUCCUACGGGAGGCAGCAGUGGGGAAUUUUGGACAAUGGACGCAAGUCUGAUCCAGCCGUUCCGCGUGCAGGAUGAAGGCCCUCGGGUUGUAAACUGCUUUUGUACAGAACGAAAAGGCUCUGGUUAAUACCUGGGGCUCAUGACGGUACUGUAAGAAUAAGCACCGGCUAACUACGUGCCAGCCGCCGCGGUAA
rnacentral:rRNA from 1 species